rnacentral:rRNA from 1 species
AUGGCAGCCUGGAAUGGCUUCCAAACAGUCCGAGAAUGGUGGGAAGGGGUCAUUACUCUAGCUCAUCAAAAGAAGGCUUGUUCCUCCCUGAUCCAUCUUGUGGUUUGGGAAAUCUGGAAGGAAAAAAAUGCUUGGGCUUUCAGAAAUAAAGUGUCGACGGUGGCGAUGGUGUUGAGGACUAUUCAAGAGGAGGCGUCGCUUUGGGUCCUAGCGGGUGCCAAGCAUUUGAGUAAUGUGAUGCCGCGAGAGUAG